GAUGAACGCUGGCGGCGUGCUUAACACAUGCAAGUCGAACGAAGCACUUUACUUGAUUUUCUUCGGAACUGAUUGUAUUGUGACUGGGUGGCGGACGGGUGAGUAACGCGUGGAUAACCUGCCUCACACAGGGGGAUAACAGUUGGAAACGGCUGCUAAUACCGCAUAAGCGCACAGCACCGCAUGGUGCAGUGUGAAAAACUCCGGUGUGUGAGAUGGAUCCGCGUCUGAUUAGGCAGUUGGCGGGUAACGCCCACCAAGCCGACGAUCAGUAGCCGACCUGAGAGGGUGACCGGCACAUUGGGACU
rnacentral:rRNA from 1 species